rnacentral:rRNA from 1 species
GGUAGCGAAAUUCCUUGUCGGGUAAGUUCCGACCUGCACGAAUGGCGUAACGACUUCUCCGCUGUCUCGACCGUGAUCUCGGUGAAAUUGCAGUACGAGUAAAGAUGCUCGUUUCGCGCAGCAGGACGGAAAGACCCCGGGACCUUUACUAUAGCUUGGUAUUGGUGUGUGUUUGUGCUUGUGUAGGAUAGGUGGGAGACUGUGAUGCCGUGCCGCUAGGUGUGGUGGAGUCGUUGGUGAAAUACCAUUCUGGUUCAAGUAUGCAUCUAACUUGGAGCCCUGAUCGGGUUUGGGGACAGUGCCUGGUGGGUAGUUUAACUGGGGCGGUUGCCUCCUAAAGGGUAACGGAGGCGCUCAAAGGUUCUCUCAGCCUGGUUGGUGAUCAGGUGGUGAGUGUAAGUGCACAAGAGGGCUUGACUGUGACACUGACGGGUGGAGCAGGUACGAAAGUAGGAACUAGUGAUCCGGCCAUGGCUUGUGGAAGCGUGGUCGCUCAACGGAUAAAAGGUACCCCGGGGAUAACAGGCUGAUCUUGCCCAAGAGUCCAUAUCGACGGCAUGGUUUGGCACCUCGAUGUCGGCUCGUCGCAUCCUGGGGCUGGAGUUGGUCCCAAGGGUUGGGCUGUUCGCCCAUUAAAGCGGUACGCGAGCUGGGUUUAGAACGUCGUGAGACAGUUCGGUCCCUAUCCGCUGCGCGCGUUGGAAACUUGAUGAAGGCCCGUCCCUAGUACGAGAGGACCGGGAUGGACGAACCUCUGGUGUGCCAGUUGUACUGCCAGGUGCAUUGCUGGUUGGCUACGUUCGGUUGGGAUAACCGCUGAAAGCAUCUAAGCGGGAAGCUUUCUUCGAGAUGAGGUUUCCGUGCCCCCGUUGUGGGGGUGGGAGGUCCCCAGUAGAUGACUGGGUUGAUAGGCCAGAGGUGGAAGCAUUGUGAGGUGUUGUGAGCCGACUGGUACUAAUGGGCCGAUUCUAAACCAA